GAUGAACGCUGGUGGUAUGCUUAACACAUGCAAGUCGAACGGACUCUUCGGAGUUAGUGGCGGACGGGUGAGUAACGCGUGAGAAUCUGGCUUUGGGUUCGGGACAACCACUGGAAACGGUGGCUAAUACCGGAUGUGCCGAGAGGUAAAAGAGAAAUUGCCUGAAGAUGAGCUCGCGUCUGAUUAGCUAGUUGGUGAGGUAAAGGCUCACCAAGGCAGCGAUCAGUAGCUGGUCUGAGAGGAUGACCAGCCACACUGGGACUGAGACACGGCCCAGACUCCUACGGGAGGCAGCAGUGGGGAAUUGUCCGCAAUGGGCGAAAGCCUGACGGAGCAAUACCGCGUGAGGGAAGAAGGCUCUUGGGUUGUAAACCUCUUUUCUUAGGGAAGAACAAAAUGACGGUACCUAAGGAAUCAGCAUCGGCUAACUCCGUG
rnacentral:rRNA from 1 species